AUUGAACGCUGGCGGCAUGCCUUACACAUGCAAGUCGAACGGCAGCACGGGGGCAACCCUGGUGGCGAGUGGCGAACGGGUGAGUAAUGCAUCGGAACGUGCCCAGUAGUGGGGGAUAACCCGGCGAAAGCCGGGCUAAUACCGCAUACGACCCAAGGGUGAAAGCGGGGGACCGUAAGGCCUCGCGCUAUUGGAGCGGCCGAUGUCUGAUUAGCUAGUUGGCGGGGUAAGAGCCCACCAAGGCGACGAUCAGUAGCUGGUCUGAGAGGACGACCAGCCACACUGGGACUGAGACACGGCCCAGACCCCUACGGGAGGGAGCAGUGGGGAAUUUUGGACAAUGGGCGCAAGCCUGAUCCAGCCAUGCCGCGUGCGGGAAGAAGGCCUUCGGGUUGUAAACCGCUUUUGGCAGGAACGAAACGGCGCAAGCCAAUACCUUGCGCUAAUGACGGUACCUGCAGAAUAAGCACCGGCUAACUACGUGCCAGCAGCCGCCGUAACAC
rnacentral:rRNA from 1 species